rnacentral:rRNA from 1 species
UUCGUGGUGGUCAUAGCGGUAAGGUCACGCCCGGUCCCGUUCCGAUCCCGGUAGCUAAGCUUGCCAGCGCUGAUGGUACUGCACUUUUUAGUGUGGGAGAGUAAGUCACUGCCACGG